rnacentral:rRNA from 1 species
GAGUUUGAACCUGGCUCAGGAUGAACGCUGGCGGCGUGCCUAAUACAUGCAAGUCGAGCGAACCACUUCGGUGGUGAGCGGCGAACGGGUGAGUAACACGUAGGUGAUCUGCCCAUCAGACGGGGACAACGAUUGGAAACGAUCGCUAAUACCGGAUAGGACGAAAGUUUAAAGGUGCUCCUGGCACCGCUGAUGGAUGAGCCUGCGGCGCAUUAGCUAGUUGGUAGGGUAAAGGCCUACCAAGGCGACGAUGCGUAGCCGACCUGAGAGGGUGAACGGCCACACUGGGACUGAGACACGGCCCAGACUCCUACGGGAGGCAGCAGUAGGGAAUCUUCGGCAAUGGGCGAAAGCCUGACCGAGCAACGCCGCGUGAAUGAUGAAGGCCUUCGGGUUGUAAAAUUCUGUUAUAAGGGAAGAACGACUUUAGUAGGAAAUGGCUAGAGUGUGACGGUACCUUAUGAGAAAGCCACGGCUAACUACGUGCCAGCAGCCGCGGUAAUACGUAGGUGGCGAGCGUUAUCCGGAAUUAUUGGGCGUAAAGAGCGCGCAGGUGGUUGAUUAAGUCUGAUGUGAAAGCCCACGGCUUAACCGUGGAGGGUCAUUGGAAACUGGUCGACUUGAGUGCAGAAGA